GUUGAAGUGAGGUAUUUGACAACCUUCUUUUCUAUGAACAUGGAAUGUGUGCCUGAAGCUGGCUCGGUGUUCAUUGUGACUUUUUGUGUUGUUGUUACCCUGUAGCAAUGCUCAUAAAAGACUGAUAGACCCAAGUGCUUCUCUUCAACUAAACUUCAUACAGGGGUAGCUAUGCAAUUAGGCAUAGUGAGUGUAAUAUGAUCUGCAUGGGUGAUAGCUAAUGGUUAACUGGCUCUGCUGAACCUGUGUUCCUUAAACAAACGCUAUCAGUGUGGGAUGAGUUGUCUUAUUUCUGCAGACAACCUACUUCAGUCUGAACAGGUGCUUGAUGCAGUGUAAAGCUUCUCAGGAUAGCUGGAGCAACUUUGUACUAAGGCUUUGAGAAAGGAAAGAGAAAUAGGCAAGAUCAUGCUUUACACAGGAGGUUUACACAGUGUGGAGAUACGCUGUAUGGAGAAUGAAGGGGCAAGAUAGUGCUGAAACUUUGAGCUCUGUACAAGGCAGAAAAUUAAUAGAUAAGCUUUCCCAGAGCAGAUGUGGACCUGUCCUGUACAUACCUGGAGGAGAAUCUGAGAGCUUGAGUUACUGCUGUGGCUCAGUGGGAGAACACAGUACUCAGGAGAGGAAUCCCAGGAGCCACCAAGUUCAGCCAGGAGCAUCCUGAGUUUAGUUCAAUGACUUGUGCAUUUUUGCAAAGUGGAGGAUAGGGCAUAGUCCAACCCAAUAAACCGAAUUACCCUGUCUGUUCUCUGGCUAUC
rnacentral:lncRNA from 1 species